CAAGAUUCUGACGGCAUGUUGGUGGAUUGAUGCAUGGAUACUCGAGCAGCCACCCGAUCAUUUCUGAGCUCUGUCUGCUGAGAGGAAGUCACAUAAACCAGGAGUUAAUUUUCCCCGGUCCAGGAAACCUUACUUGAAGGGAAACCGGCGGCAGCUGACCUCUUUUGGAAGACUGUUUUGAGGAAGAAAAGGAGGGUUCCAGCAAUGCCUCUUGCUGCAUCAGUUAAUCGUCAGAUGUCUUCAGCUCAGAAUAACAUCCCUGCGGCAGAGGUAUGAUUUGUGCGCUUUUCUUCGGUACAUCAUACAUCAACCAAAAGUUUAUUGACUUUUUGAUGCCACUUGAUCCAAGACACCCACAUCCUGGACUGAAGGAUUGGAUUUGAAUGAAACUCAUUUUCAUCACAAGACAAAGACAGGUCAGAGACACUCGUUAGAAGUUCAGGUGGAUCCGAGAAGCGUGAGCCAGGGAAGUCCAUGUGAUAGGAACUCCCGCCCCCACCCCCAGGAUCAAGUCUGCAUCAUUCAGAUUUGAGUUUUCCUGGAUCAAUGGAGACAAAUAGAGCCAAGUGCUCUACGUACCACCGAAUAAUGGAGACAGAUAGGUGAAAGUCCUUCGCGGACCACAGA